UCCUCGGUGGCGUAAUUGGCUAGCGCGUCUGACUGUUAAUCAGGAGGUUGAAAGUUCGAGCCUUUCCCGGGGAG
rfam:Fungal sp. No.14919 DNA, contig: Contig0045.